GCGAUCAAGUAUUUAUUUCCAACAACGAGCAGUGAAAAACUAUUCAUUCCAUACCCCCAAUCAGACAAAACACUGGCACAGUUACAUAAAAGAAAUAUUAAAAUAGGAAUCAUAUUUCUUAAAAAAGUGUAAUAAAGCCUUCCAAAGUAAAAUCACCGUAUUAGGAAAUCGGAAGUCAUGAGCACGGCCAUUAGGUCAAUGUCAUAUAAAACUUACACAGGUACAAGAUGAACAAAACAAAAACAAGAUCCUUGAAAACCAACCAAAACUAUAAGGGAAGCAGUAUAAUGUCACGCUUUUAUUAGUUAAGUAGUCAAGGAAACAUCCACAAAAGAACACGAACAGUAAUCUCAGAGAAUUCCAGCUUAGUGGAGAAUACUAUAAAGAA